AAUGCUGUGAGAGUGGUUGUCUGUGUUUUGUGAGAGUGUGUGUGUGUGAGUGAAUGAAUGAGAUAAUUUUAAAAAUCUACACCGUGAUCUUAUUUGAUCUGGUCCGAGUUGCCCUGCUCGGAUACAGAGAUGAUAAGAACCGACUCGAGAGCUUCUGUAGCAAUGAUCGUGAGGCUUUUCACAAAACUCGGGGCAUCCAUAGUUGAAACUGUGGUAAGAAAUGAUGAGUCGAUCAGAUAUACUAGAACAGGCGGGGUGCUGGAUCUCGGUCUAGUAUGCUCUGCUUGUUCACUGAGUAUAACGGCGAUUCUGAUCUCA